GGGAGGUAGUGACAAUAAAUAACAAUACGGGGUUCUUUCGGAUCUCGUAAUUGGAAUGAGUACAAUUUAAAUCUCUUAACGAGGAACAAUUGGAGGGCAAGUCUGGUGCCAGCAGCCGCGGUAAUUCCAGCUCCAAUAGCGUAUAUUAAAGUUGCUGCAGUUAAAAAGCUCGUAGUUGAAUUUCGGGAUCAAUAUAUUGGUCGUGCCUUGGUACGUACUAAUUUAUUGGUUUCUUCCUUCUGACGAACCAUUAUGUCAUUAAUUUGGUGUCUUGGGGAAUCAGGACUGUUACUUUGAAAAAUUAGAGUGUUUAAAGCAGCAUUAGCUUGAAUACAUUAGCAUGGAAUAAUGAAAUAGGACGUUUGAUCCUAUUUCGUUGGUUUCUAGGAUCGACGUAAUGAUUAAUAGGGAUAGUUGGG
rnacentral:rRNA from 1 species